UUGGUGCAGCCCCACCGUUACUCGUCUCGGCAAAUUUUCCUGCACAUCACCGCAUUUAGCAAACGGUCAACACAAAGAAGUGACGAAAUAGGUUUAAAAUAUUAUGUAUCAGUGAUUUUACUCAUUACUGAGGGAAGAAUUGGGAGAAAAGGAAGAACUGAGGACGACAAUUUUCGGCCGGCUCAGACCUGCAGGGACCACCUGUAGCUGAUCCAUCCUGCUCCGGUUCACUGAACAAGACGCUUUCUUGGUAUUCAACCCUGAGAGGGGAACAAAGGCCAGUCAGGAGAAGGUGAUGUUCGAGAGGUCUGGGAAGCUGUUCCAGAAAAAGGCAUCUACUUUCUGGAAAAAUGGAAACCAAACUCAGUGUACCUGAACUAGAACAUGCAGAAUGAGAACCUGUUCAGCAUGAGGAAAUGAUUGUAUGUUACUAAAAUUUAAUGGGUUAAAUAGGUCAGUUCUUGAACUAUGUUUGAUACAGAGUUGGCUUUAAUAAAAGCUAAAUGUUGAA